AAGGGCAUUGCCAUGGGCGAAGCCUGAUGCAGCCAUGCCGCGUGUGUGAAGAAGGCCUUCGGGUUGUAAAGCACUUUCAGUCAGGAGGAAAGGGUGUGAGUUAAUACCUCACAUCUGUGACGUUACUGACAGAAGAAGCACCGGCUAACUCCGUGCCAGCAGCCGCGGUAAUACGGAGGGUGCGAGCGUUAAUCGGAAUUACUGGGCGUAAAGCGUACGCAGGCGGUUUGUUAAGCGAGAUGUGAAAGCCCCGGGCUCAACCUGGGAACUGCAUUUCGAACUGGCAAACUAGAGUGUGAUAGAGGGUGGUAGAAUUUCAGGUGUAGCGGUGAAAUGCGUAGAGAUCUGAAGGAAUACCGAUGGCGAAGGCAGCCACCUGGGUCAACACUGACGCUCAUGUACGAAAGCGUGGGGAGCAAACGGGAUUAGAUACCCCGGUAGUCCACGCCGUAAACGAUGUCUACUAGAAGCUCGGAACCUCGGUUCUGUUUUUCAAAGCUAACGCAUUAAGUAGACCGCCUGGGGAGUACGGCCGCAAGGUUAAAACUCAAAUGAAUUGACGGGGGCCCGCACAAGCGGUGGAGCAUGUGGUUUAAUUCGAUGCAACGCGAAGAACCUUACCUACACUUGACAUACAGAGAACUUUCUAGAGAUAGAUUGGUGCCUUCGGGAACUCUGAUACAGGUGCUGCAUGGCUGUCGUCAGCUCGUGUUGUGAGAUGUUGGGUUAAGUCCCGCAACGAGCGCAACCCCUAUCCUUAGUUGCUAGCAGGUAAUGCUGAGAACUCUAAAGGAGACUGCCGGUGAUAAACCGGAGGAAGGGUGGGGG
rnacentral:rRNA from 1 species